rnacentral:rRNA from 1 species
CAUGCAAGUCGAGCGGUAAGGCCUCUUCGGAGGUACACGAGCGGCGGACGGCUGAGUAACGCGUAGGAACGUACCCCAAAGUGAGGGAUAAGCACCAGAAAUGGUGUCUAAUACCGCAUGUGAUCUACGGAUUAAAGCUUUAUGCGCUUUGGGAACGGCCUGCGUUUGAUUAGCUAGUUGGUGAGGUAAAAGCUCACCAAGGCGACGAUCAAUAGCUGGUCUGAGAGGAUGAUCAGCCAGACUGGGACUGAGACACGGCCCAGACUCCUACGGGAGGCAGCAGUAGGGAAUUUUCCACAAUGGGCGAAAGCCUGAUGGAGCAACGCCGCGUGCAGGAUGAAGGCCCUUGGGUUGUAAACUGCUUUUAUAUGUGAGGAAUAUGACGGUAGCAUAUGAAUAAGGAUCGGCUAACUCCGUGCCAGCAGCCGCGGUCAUACGGAGGAUCCGAGCGUUAUCCGGAGUGACUGGGCGUAAAGAGUUGCGUAGGGGGUUUGUUAAGCAGAUAGUGAAAUCUCGUGGCUCAACCAUGAGGCUAUUAUUUGAACUGGCAGACUUGAGAGUAUGAGGGGUAGACGGAAUUCCCAGUGUAGGAGUGAAAUCCGUAGAUAUUGGGAGGAACACCGAUGGCGUANGCAGUCUACUGGCAUACUUCUGACCCUGA